rnacentral:rRNA from 1 species
AAUGGGCGAAAGCCUGACGGAGCAACGCCGCGUGAGGGAUGAAGGCCUCUGGGCUGUAAACCUCUUUUAUCAAGGAAGAAGAUCUGACGGUACUUGAUGAAUAAGCCACGGCUAAUUCCGUGCCAGCAGCCGCGGUAAUACGGGAGUGGCAAGCGUUAUCCGGAAUUAUUGGGCGUAAAGCGUCCGCAGGCGGCCCUUCAAGUCUGCUGUUAAAAAGUGGAGCUUAACUCCAUCAUGGCAGUGGAAACUGUUGGGCUUGAGUGUGGUAGGGGCAGAGGGAAUUCCCGGUGUAGCGGUGAAAUUCGUAGAUAUUAGGAAGAACACCAGUGGCGAAGGCGGCUCACUGGUCCGAUACUGACGCUGAGGUGCGAAAGCGUGGGGAGCGAACAGGAUU